rnacentral:lncRNA from 1 species
UUUAGAUAUUAAAUCAUCAUUUAAAGUCUUGCAGGGAGUCUCAUGAAUAUAAGAAUAACUGAACAGAAUAUGGAGCAGCAUAUAGACUGACAAUUAUGUGCUGGAAAAACUAGAAUUGCAUUCAAGGAAGAAAGACAUAAGUACACAUAAUGCAAAGAUUUACAUUUGGACUUUUAUACAUAUUCUCUUAUCUCAGUUAUAUCUGCCUCUUUUUCAGGGCAUAGUCAAAAACAGAACACUGCAGUGAGAAGAACUGAGAGUGAGAUUAAGUAUUUAACUACACUGCUGCUCUUUUUAUGGUAUGUCAACAGCAUGGGAAAUAUUGAUAUGUAAGAGUGGCUGCUUUUAGAAGAAAGUAUAUGACUGACAGGCGAUGAUUCUAAUGGAAGAAACCGUAUUUUGUUGAUCCUUGUAUUGCUACUCACUCGCACAAUACCAAGUAGAGCAAAUACAGAUGGAAGACUGGGAUUUUCAAAUAUGGCAGUCUGUUCAAAAUAAAAAUUUCACACACAUCUCUUUUUGUCAUAAGAAUUAUCACAUUUGAUUUUUUUCUUUUUUUUUUA